rnacentral:lncRNA from 1 species
UGCCUGACUAUGGUCCAGCCAGGAAGGGAUAGGGUUGGGGAUGGGGAAUCAGGGUACAGGCCUUUAGUGAAGUCGGUAGGAUUGCCACGCCCGAACGAGCUUUCUUCGCUGGAUCGGAUGUCGCCCACGUGGAGGAGAUCUACUCAGAAAAAGACUCCGACUUCUGGGAACAGAAAGAGAGGCUAGCCACCCAGGAAACUUGGAAGACAUGAGGAGAUCUCUGCCUUAUUCUUCUUCACUGAGUCUGGACCUGUGUGUUGCUAAUUACCUCUCCAGAUAUUCUGGACUUCAAAAUGUUUGAGAACUUUUUCUUCUAAUGACUAUGGGAUGGGUUCACAGUCGAGUCUCCUAUAUUCAGCACCCAAAGUCCCUCCCCUUACUCAGCAGCAAACGCCUUACAUUAUGAGAAUCACAGGGACCCCACAGUUAAUCGAUCUGUAAUAAAACAACCAGUGUCCCGCCUCGACAUUGUGAGCCAGGGCCAGGAGGAACUGAGCCAAGCCAGUCUGGCAGAGACUACCACGUGUCUUGCCUUUCCUUCUUCUAGAAAUAUCCGGGCUUUUUUUUUUUUUUUUCAUAAUGCUUAAAUUGCUACAGUGACAAGCAGAGGCCUAAGUUGUGGUAACAUAGACAGGAAGGAAAUUGGCUAAUACUAAAAUGGGAAAAGGCACUUCAAGAGUUCACAAAAACCAUUGGCUUAACAUUGACAGACAUCAGAGGUCAAUAAAAG